UCUACAUUUUUAGGACAACAAUAUUAAUACAAUAUUGCAUUAAUCUAUGCAGAUGCUGCGCAAAUCAGAGUCCAAACGUCUUCAUAUAAAGAAACUUUUUACUUUUUUUUUGCAGAAGAAUCAACAAUGAAAUCAUGUUGAACAGGCAAAGAAAGCUAAAACCCACUGGUGGCUGCUAAAUAAAUAAACACGGUCUAUCUCUUGAGAAGCCAGUAUAUGAUAGGGGGGGGUUAAGUGGCUGUCAUGUUGUGUUUUCUGCAGCAGAUGAGGAACCAUGUCCAAACUGUAACCAAACCACGAGCUGCCAGGAUCGUCACUCCUUCCCCUGGUCAGAGACCCUCAAAAGGUGGUCUGCAGUGCGGCGUCCUGGAAGCCUGAUUUAAAUCUGAUGGAUAAUUUAUGUUGUUGAGCUGGUUGUUGGUUCGGAUGGAGAGUCGGCUCAGGUCCCGCCGUCCUGUUGUCACGACAAAGUAGAGUGGUGGUUGGACAGACUGUUGCAUCUCUUAAGAAGCUGAUAUAGGCUCCAGCAACCCCGUAAACCCAAAGGGAUUCGGCAGGUACUGAAGAUGGAUGGAUGUUGUGGGUGAGAUCAGCAAGGACCGAGAGGAUCAGGUCAGUAGCAGAACCUGAACAGUCAGAGGAUGAUUCAGCUGCCUCUGCCUGCAGAGGACGAAGUGCCGAUCAGAUUAUUGCUUCAAUCGAUUCAAGGGAUCAGAUUUAUCUGAUUUAUUUGUGGAAAAGAGACUUCUUACUAAACAGCACAAAGUAAGUAAAUGACCCAUCAUUCAAAGGGGUGCAGGUGCACAACGCAGAAGCAAAAACACAAGGACAGUUCGAUUAAUCUGACAAAGUUUUCAGAGUGAAGAGCCGUGAAAGCCACUAUUGGUCUUAAACUGCUUGCUUAGCGAACCAAAAGUCUUAAAACUGAAGUGAAUGAAUCCACCAUCACUGAGGAACAAAGGGAAGCAGAAGUCUGCAUUAUUGUAGUUGGUACAAGAAAAUUAUUUUAGUAGAGAAAUAAAAACACAAGAAAGUGCAAAGAAAUAAAAAGACAAAGCAAACAAGCUUUACAAACAAAUCUUUUUCAGUAGAAGACGGUUUUUCAGAGCAGUUGGUGGCACUUGGUUGAAUAAGAAUAAAUACAGUAGAACUUUAAAAGAUUACUUUAGUAGUGAAAUACAGACAUCUUUUGAUCAAUUUUCAAAGUGUGGUCU